UCUGAUAAUUCGUGUGCCGCUCAGUUCUUUCCCUGGUCAAGAGCUAUAACAAGAGCUGUAAUGUUAGCUGUACACCUUGCCAUGAAAGUGACCCAUUUGUGCCUUUAAGCUUUCUGCACCAUCGAAGAGCUCACAUGCAUGUCCGAGUUGGAGCUGACAGCCAUUUGCAUUGAUUUAGGAAAACUGCUCAAAGAAACAUUCAUGUAUUGGCAUUGAAUAAGCUCAGAAUAAUGUCAUUAGGAUGUAUUUCCAGAAGAAUGGCAAGUGGAUUACAUCUUUUGUGCUGCCUAAGAAGUAAAAUGCAAUCCGGCCUGAGAAUCUCCAUUCAAGCUGGGCAUCUGAGAACACUGAGAAUCUUCAUUGAGAUUAGUUGGGCAUAUCAACAACCUAGAUGUGUUAUGUCAAUCAGCCAAAGCAUGCCAACUAUUACUACCUUAUGUUUUUUAUGAUCUCGAAUUAAAUAAUAUUGAAUACUGAGAAGGUAUUCUGUAUUCCUGUU